AAAGAGUUAGUUAAACCAUAAUAUAAGGUUGUCAGCCUUAGGUUACUAAUAAAAUUUAGUACUUUUUA
rnacentral:tRNA from 1 species